CCUACGGGAGGCAGCAGUGAGGAAUAUUGGUCAAUGGACGAGAGUCUGAACCAGCCAAGUAGCGUGAAGGAUGACUGCCCUAUGGGUUGUAAACUUCUUUUAUAUGGGAAUAAAACAGGGUAUGCAUACCCUCUUGUAUGUACCAUAUGAAUAAGGAUCGGCUAACUCCGUGCCAGCAGCCCCGUUAAUACGGAGGAUCCGAGCGUUAUCCGGAUUUAUUGGGUUUAAAGGGAGCGUAGGUGGAUUGUUAAGUCAGUUGUGAAAGUGUGCGGCUCAACCGUAAAAUUGCAGUUGAUACUGGCAGUCUUGAGUACAGUAGAGGUGGGCGGAAUUCGUGGUGUAGCGGUGAAAUGCUUAGAGAUCACGAAGAACUCCGAUUGCGAAGGCAGCUCACUGGACUGCAACUGACACUGAUGCGCGAAAGUGUGGGUAGCAAACAGGAUUAGAUACCCGGGUAGUC
rnacentral:rRNA from 1 species